GACGUAGGGCGCGAGCGUUGUCCGGAAUCAUUGGGCGUAAAGAGCGUGUAGGCGGCUCGAUUAGUCCGCUGUAAAAGUCCAGGGCUCAACCCUGGGAUGCCGGUGGAAACUGUCGGGCUAGAGUCCGGGAGAGGCGAGUGGAAUUCCUGGUGUAGCGGUGAAAUGCGCAGAUAUCAGGAGGAACACCAAUGGCGAAGGCAGCUCGCUGGAACGGUACUGACGCUGAGACGCGAAAGCGUGGGGAGCAAACAGG
rnacentral:rRNA from 1 species